rnacentral:rRNA from 1 species
CCUACGGGAGGCAGCAGUGGGGAAUCUUGCGCAAUGCGCGAAAGCGUGACGCAGCAACGCCGCGUGAGGGAAGACGGCCUUCGGGUUGUAAACCUCUUUCAGUUGGGACGAAGCCACGGCGGUUAAUACCCGUCUGUGGUGACGGUACCUUCAGAAGAAGCCCCGGCUAACUACGUGCCAGCAGCCGCGGUAAUACGUAGGGGGCAAGCGUUGUCCGGAAUCAUUGGGCGUAAAGCGCGUGUAGGCGGCUUGGUAAGUCCGCUCUGAAAGCCCGGGGCUCAACCCCGGGAGGCGGGUGGAUACUGUCAAGCUCGAGUCCGGAAGAGGCGAGUGGAAUUCCUGGUGUAGCGGUGAAAUGCGCAGAUAUCAGGAGGAACACCAAUGGCGAAGGCAGCUCGCUGGGACGUGACUGACGCUGAGACGCGAAAGCGUGGGGAGCAAACAGGAUUAGAUACCCUGGUAGUCCACGCCGUAAACGAUGGGCACUAGGUGUGGGAGGUGUCGACUCCUCCCGUGCCGAAGCUAACGCAUUAAGUGCCCCGCCUGGGGAGUACGGCCGCAAGGCUAAAACNCAAAGGAAUUGACGGCGNGAGAGNGCGAGACGACGACGAGGGAGAGG